GAGAGGGAAGGAGAAACCAGUAUCGCUUCCACACCUGGCUAACGCACAAUGAUUCCUGUCGAUGUUGCGGACCUCCUCGCUUUAACCCAGGAGUCUCCACUGCGGCUGCGGUCUCACCUGGACUCUCUCGCUGGCCUGCAGGUGCUCCACUGGUACACCAUCUACUUGGUCCAGAUGUAAGAUUAAAGGCAGCACAGGCCUCACAAAUACUUCGUAUUCUCCCUUAAGGCGUUGCACAACG